rnacentral:rRNA from 1 species
UACGGAGGGUGCAAGCGUUGUUCGGAAUCACUGGGCGUAAAGGGCGUGUAGGCGGUCCGCUAAGUCUGAUGUGAAAGCCCGGGGCUCACCCCCGGAAGGGCAUUGGAAACUGGCGGACUCGAGUCUCGGAGAGGAAGGUGGAAUUCCUGGUGUAGCGGUGAAAUGCGUAGAUAUCUGGAGGAAUACCGGUGGCGAAGGCGGCAUCCUGGACCGACAUUGACGCUGAGGAGCGAAAGCUAGGGGAGCAAACGGG